UGGGGAAUAUUGCACAAUGGGCGCAAGCCUGAUGCAGCCAUGCCGCGUGUGUGAAGAAGGCCUUCGGGUUGUAAAGCACUUUCAGCGAGGAGGAAGGUGGUGAGCUUAAUACGCUCAUCAAUUGACGUUACUCGCAGAAGAAGCACCGGCUAACUCCGUGCCAGCAGCCGCGGUAAUACGGAGGGUGCAAGCGUUAAUCGGAAUUACUGGGCGUAAAGCGCACGCAGGCGGUUUGUUAAGUCAGAUGUGAAAUCCCCGGGCUCAACCUGGGAACUGCAUUUGAAACUGGCAAGCUAGAGUCUCGUAGAGGGGGGUAGAAUUCCAGGUGUAGCGGUGAAAUGCGUAGAGAUCUGGAGGAAUACCGGUGGCGAAGGCGGCCCCCUGGACGAAGACUGACGCUCAGGUGCGAAAGCGUGGGGCAGCAAACAGGAUUAGAUACCCUGGUAGUCCAGCGCUGUAAACGAUGUCGAUUUUGGAGGUUGUGCCCUUGAGGCGUGGCUUCCGGAGCUAACGCGUUAAAGUCGACCGCCUGGGGAGUACGG
rnacentral:rRNA from 1 species